rnacentral:lncRNA from 1 species
AAAAGGAAAUCAAUGAAAUAAAAUAUGAAAAAAUAAAAAUUAGAUGAAGAAAAAUAAAAGAGAAUUUUAGAAAUUAUUUUGAGAUUUUUUGGAUGAAAAAUGAAAUUACUAUGAAUUUUUAAAGAAAAAGCAAUUUAAAAUAAUAAAAGAAAAAGAAUUAAAAUCAGAAAAACAUGGAGCGUUGGAUCAUGCCUCAUUAAUUGACGUGGCAUAUCCAAUACUCCAAAGGUUA